GCCGAGGUAGCUCAGUCGGUAGAGCAGCUGAUUCGUAAUCAGCAGGUCCGGGGUUCAAGUCCCCGUGUUGGCUCCA
rnacentral:tRNA from 1 species